rnacentral:lncRNA from 1 species
GUAGGCUAGAACCACUUUGAGGGCAAGGACAGAAACUUCUACUUCUUUGCCUCCCCAAAUACUAGCUUGGUCUCUUGAAAAGAGUCAAUAUAUACUUAGGGAUGAUUGAAUUAUUGAUUUCUAAAUGGGCAGUCCUGGGUGUUGGUAUGGUCAGGAGGAAACAGAGAGAUCCCACGGAGGAGAAGUCUGUGUGUCAUGGUUUGCCAAGCAGUGCCAUGUCCACACCCAGGAUCCAAACCGGCGAACACCGGGCCACUGAAGCGGAACGUGCAAACCUAACCUCUGGGCCAUCGGGCCGGCCCCCAUACCAGCUAGUUUUUAUGGAGCGCUAUAGCAGAUGGUGUGGAUGCCUCAUCUCUGACCUCACCUCCAGCCACAGGGAACAGCUUCUGUGCACACUGGAAACUUCUUAUCUUAAGUGUCCAAGUCUCUUUGUUUCUCUUCUUGCAACCAAAAAAGUUUGUUCAGCUCAUGUGCAAGGCUGCUAGAAGUGCUGAAAAUUAAUGCUCUAGGGUCAACUCUUAAGCAACGAGGGCUGAAAGUCAGUGAAUAAAUACGCCGCUUCACCAUCCCUUGGUCGGAUAAUUCUGAAGGAUGCUUCUCAGAGGGUCUUCAGCAGGACUGAGCCCCAGCUGCCCACAGUGGCAAUCAGCUCACCGAUGCACACUUCAUUGGCAUUCCUCCCUCCCCUGCCUUGCUUCUCCCGCUUUUGUUUCUUGGGAUCAUCUUCUCAAUAAAAUACUUAACCCAGGAUUGCCUCAGGCUUUUCUUUCCAAGGAAUCCAGAGGUAGGUGAGCACAUUGUGACUAAGGCACCAUGUUAGAACAGAGAAACUCUCAAAGAUCUGGUAAUGGAGACAGAGAGGACUAAGAAAAAAUUCAUCACCAGCAGAAUGUGCCC